rnacentral:miRNA from 1 species
UUUUGUAUGACCUCACUGUCGAUA